CGAGACGCUAAGGCGUCGAAGUAGUGUAUGUCAUACUUCCAAGAAAAGCUUGCACUGUCAUAGAUAAAAAACGCCUGUACCAUAACCGACACAGGUGGGUAGGUAGAGUUUACUAAGGGGCGCGAGAUAACUCUCUCUAAGGAACUCGGCAAAAUAACUCCGUAACUUCGGGAGAAGGAGUGCCUUAUUCGUAAGGUUGCAAUAACAAGAUCCAAGCAACUGUUUAUCAAAAACACAGGUCUCCGCUAAGUCGUAAGACGAUGUAUGGGGGCUGACGCCUGCCCAGUGCCAGAAGGUUAAAGAAGUUGGUUAGCAAUUGCGAAGCUGAUAACUGAAGCCCUGGUGAACGGCGGCCGUAACUAUAACGGUCCUAAGGUAGCGAAAUUCCUUGUCGGGUAAGUUCCGACCCGCACGAAAGGCGUAAUGAUUUGGAUACUGUCUCGGAGAGGGGCUCGGUAAAAUAGACUUGUCUGUGAAGAUGCGGGCUACCUGCACCAGGACAGAAAGACCCUAUGAAGCUUUACUGUAACUUGAAAUUGGAAUUGGACUUUAUUCGCGCAGCAUAGGUGGGAGGCGUUGAUUAUAAUCUUGCGGGAUUAUUGGAGCCAUCAGUGAGAUACCACUCUUGUAAUGUUAGAUUUCUAACUUUGAAUCAUUAUCUGGUCAAAGAACAGUUUCAGGCGGGCAGUUUGACUGGGGCGGUCGCCUCCUAAACGGUAACGGAGGCGUACAAAGGUUUCCUCUGAACGGUUAGAAAUCGUAUCUAGAGUGUAAAGGCAUAAGGAAGCUUGACUGUGAGACCUACAAGUCGAGCAGGGACGAAAGUCGGUCUUAGUGAUCUGACGGUACUGAGUGGAAAGGCCGUCACUCAACGGAUAAAAGUUACUCUAAGGAUAACAGGCUGAUCUCCCCCAAGAGUUCACAUCGACGGGGAGGUUUGGCACCUCGAUGUCGGCUCAUCGCAUCCUGGGGCGGUAGUACGUCCCAAGGGUUGGGCUGUUCGCCCAUGAAAGCGGUACGCGAGCUGGGUUCAGAACGUCGUGAGACAGUUCGGUCCAUAUCCGGUGUAGGCGUUAGAAUAUUGAGAGGAGCCUUCUUUAGUACGAGAGGACCGAGAAGGACAUACCUCUGGUGUACCAGUUAUCGUGCCAACGGUAAACGCUGGGUAGCUAUGUAUGGAGUGGAUAACCGCUGAAAGCAUCUAAGUGGGAAGCCCACCUCAAGAUAAGUAUUCUCA
rnacentral:rRNA from 1 species